rnacentral:rRNA from 1 species
GUCUACAGCCAUCCACCCUGAACGUGUCCAAUCUCGUCUGGUCUUGAAAGCUAAGCAGGGUUGGGCCUGAUUAGUAUUUGGAUGGAAGACAUCUUCAGAGGAGCCUGCUCAGAGACA